UUUGCCUAGGUAUCUCCUUCACCUGCUCCCAGCCCUCUGAAAUUUAUUCCUCCGGAAGUACUAUCAACCUUAGAGAAGUUAACUUGUCCAAGAUCAAUCAACUGUAAAUGGCAGAGACAGAAUUCAAACUAAGCUCUGCUGACUUCAAAUCUUGCUCCUUUCACUGUCUUCCAGCCGAGUAGAAGAGAGCGGUCAGUGUAUACAGCAUUGUUCAGCUUGGGAGGGGAAGGACGAGGGAGUUUGCCUAGGAGUUUCCCUGUCUUUAUGAAGUCAGUGGCUAGAUCUUCUGCUGAGCUACUGUGGGGGAAUUUGAUAAGAAAUCACCCUGAUUGAAGCUUUUAUCCUGUUCUGAUAGAAAAUUCAAAGAAAUAAAAGCACUGGAAAGGGGAGACCCUUGGGGAGUAAAUGUACCACCAUCCAUGACAUUUUAUGUUGGGACCAAUCGAUUUAUCCAUUGGGUAUGUACUUUUACACUUAUCCUCAUAU
rnacentral:lncRNA from 1 species